AAGAGAUAAAUCAAAGUUGAAAGAUCAAACAGAUUCAGUUCUCCUUUGGUCUUCAUUUUUAGCCUAGGUCUAUACAUUCAAAAAUUAAACUAAAUUAAUUCAAUCUUUCUCUUGUUUAAAAAUACAGGUAUCCCUUCCACAUGAUGACUUUCUCCAUCAAAGUUUCCAUAUAUUGCGUAAAACCAGUGAUGAGCAACUUUCCAGAUAUGAGCCAAAGGUAUUUUCAAGAAAUCCUCAGGACCCAUUAAGCAUAAUGUGGAAAGAGACUCAUAGAACCUGCUCCACUGAUGGGCAAAAGCAUGAACUAGACCACACUGAACAAUCUCUUGACUCCUUCAUAAACUUGCUGACUAUAUUUUCCAGCCACUGAGUCAUAGUAUACAUUGUCUGACAAAUAAUAUUCCCUUAACAAAGCCUUGCUGUUUCCAGUCAUUGAGUCAGUAUACAUUGUCUGACAAAUAAUAUUGCCUUAACAAAGCCUAAUUAAAAGUGCCCUUUCUUUUCUCAAAAAGCAGGACUGGGCCCCUAAAUCCCCACACCAUUUCAUUUUCUUUCUCUUGGUGCCUGGGGACUUGUUAAACCCACAUCCCCACAUUCAACCAAUCUGCUAACCCCAGCUAAGGUGUUAACCCAUAACUAAGGUAUUAACUGUGACUUGACCUGUGCCCCCUAUCCUGGGUACCUGCAUUUUAAAAGGUAAUUCUCUAAAUUUUGGAGAAGAAAAAAAAUUACCCCCCCUCCCACACUGAUCAUCUCUAUUUUCCCAAUCCCUGGCCACCAUGUUUAUCAUCCCCAUUCUCCCAACCCUCCUAUUCAGUGGAUAAAUAAAUAAAGAGACUGGGUAAAUGCCUUCA
rnacentral:lncRNA from 1 species